GAUUGCUAACUGCAAAGCACACUGAGCAGAAGGGUCCACACAGCAUCGCUGAUGGUGGGAUUUCUGUGGCUGGGUCCGUGAAAAGCCAUAAAGCUGAGAGCGUUACCCUUGGCCUUAGUUUUAUGAUGUCUUAUAAUAAUCUGGCUGUGGUUUUUAUCUUUUAUUUGUCUUAACUUAUUGCUUCCUUUGGAAACAACAUGUGACCUCACUUUUGAUGACUGUUUUCUGACUGGAAAAGAAAUGGAGCCAGGGAGAAUAUCUCCCUCGCAUGCAGGGAGAAGACUUUGCCAAAAACAGGAGGCAGUGAAAACAUGAGGCUGCAAGAUCUUACUGUUGCAUUUGCAUUUGUACACCAAGACUGGAAAUCCCCCUGCACCUGAUGUUCUCUGCAAGUCAUUGCACCAUCCAUCCCACACUAGGCUCUGAGUAAAAUGAGAGUGUACCAAGCACAGGACACAGCCUGGGAAACAGCAUCUUGUCUGGCUGCAGUACUCGAGCUCCUCCAGGCCCAAGGCUGUAAAAUUGGAACUACUUUUUUUUUCCAGUUGCAAUAGUAUUAGGCUUUUUCCCAAACGUCACAUGUAAAUAAAGGAAAUCAAAUUGUUUCUAA